rnacentral:rRNA from 1 species
UACGGAGGGUGCAAGCGUUAUCCGGAUUCACUGGGUUUAAAGGGUGCGUAGGUGGGUCUGUAAGUCAGUUGUGAAAUCUCCGAGCUUAACUCGGAAACGGUCAACUGAUACUGCGUCGGCUAGAGUGCGGAAGGGGCAACUGGAAUUCUUGGUGUAGCGGUGAAAUGCGUAGAUAUCAGGAAGAACACCCGUGGCGAAGGCGGGUCUCUGGACAGUUCCUGACGCUGAGGCACGAAGGUCAGGGGAGCAAACGGG